rnacentral:ncRNA from 1 species
GCCGGUGUGAUUCCGGCACGGUCGCGCCACUGUGAUCGGGGAGCGGACCCCAGCAAGGCCACGCCCUGUGGUCGCAAAGACUGGAAGACAGGGGCGAGCGGUGAUCCGGGAGUCAGGAGA